GACGAACGCUGGCGGCGUGCUUAACACAUGCAAGUCGAACGGAAAGGCCCUGCUUUUGUGGGGUGCUCGAGUGGCGAACGGGUGAGUAACACGUGAGUAACCUGCCCUUGACUUUGGGAUAACUUCAGGAAACUGGGGCUAAUACCGGAUAGGAGCUCCUGCUGCAUGGUGGGGGUUGGAAAGUUUCGGCGGUUGGGGAUGGACUCGCGGCUUAUCAGCUUGUUGGUGGGGUAGUGGCUUACCAAGGCUUUGACGGGUAGCCGGCCUGAGAGGGUGACCGGCCACAUUGGGACUGAGAUACGGCCCAGACUCCUACGGGAGGCAGCAGUGGGGAAUAUUGCACAAUGGGCGGAAGCCUGAUGCAACAACGCCGCGUGCGGGAUGACGGCCUUCGGGUUGUAAACCGCUUUCGCCUGUGACGAAGCGUGAGUGACGGUAAUGGGUAAAGAAGCACCGGCUAACUACGUGCCAGCAGCCGCGGUGAUACGUAGGGUGCGAGCGUUGUCCGGAUUUAUUGGGCGUAAAGGGCUCGUAGGUGGUUGAUCGCGUCGGAAGUGUAAUCUUGGGGCUUAACCCUGAGCGUGCUUUCGAUACGGGUUGACUUGAGGAAGGUAGGGGAGAAUGGAAUUCCUGGUGGAGCGGUGGAAUGCGCAGAUAUCAGGAGGAACACCAGUGGCGAAGGCGGUUCUCUGGGCCUUUCCUGACGCUGAGGAGCGAAAGCGUGGGGAGCGAACAGGCUUAGAUACCCUGGUAGUCCACGCUGUAAACGGUGGGUACUAGGUGUGGGGUCCAUUCCACGGGUUCCGUGCCGUAGCUAACGCUUUAAGUACCCCGCCUGGGGAGUACGGCCGCAAGGCUAAAACUCAAAGGAAUUGACGGGGCCCCGCACAAGCGGCGGAGCAUGCGGAUUAAUUCGAUGCAACGCGUAGAACCUUACCUGGGUUUGACAUGGAUCGGGAGUGCUCAGAGAUGGGUGUGCCUCUUUUGGGGUCGGUUCACAGGUGGUGCAUGGCUGUCGUCAGCUCGUGUCGUGAGAUGUUGGGUUAAGUCCCGCAACGAGCGCAACCCUUGUUCACUGUUGCCAGCACGUUAUGGUGGGGACUCAGUGGAGACCGCCGGGGUCAACUCGGAGGAAGGUGGGGAUGACGUCAAGUCAUCAUGCCCCUUAUGUCCAGGGCUUCACGCAUGCUACAAUGGCUGGUACAGAGAGUGGCGAGCCUGUGAGGGUGAGCGAAUCUCGGAAAGCCGGUCUCAGUUCGGAUUGGGGUCUGCAACUCGACCUCAUGAAGUCGGAGUCGCUAGUAAUCGCAGAUCAGCAACGCUGCGGUGAAUACGUUCCCGGG
rnacentral:rRNA from 1 species